GUAGGGAAUAUUGGACAAUGGGGGGAACCCUGAUCCAGCCAUGCCGCGUGGAGGAAGACUGCCCUCUGGGUUGUAAACUCCUUUUAUAUGGGAAGAACCGUCCUCAUUAAUGAGUGACCUGACGGUACCAUAGGAAUAAGCACCGGCUAACUCCGUGCCAGCAGCCGCGGUAAUACGGAGGGUGCAAGCGUUAUCCGGAUUCACUGGGUUUAAAGGGUGCGUAGGCGGAUAAAUAAGUCAGUGGUGAAAUCAACGGGCUCAACCUGUUAACUGCAAUUGAUACUGUGUAUCUUGAAUAUGAGAGAGGUAGGCGGAAUGUUGCAUGUAGCGGUGAAAUGCUUAGAUAUGCUACGGAACACCGAUUGCGAAGGCAGCUUACUAUUUCGUAAUUGACGCUGAGGCACGAAAGCGUGGGUAGCGAACAGGAUUAGAAACCCCGGUAGUCC
rnacentral:rRNA from 1 species